rnacentral:rRNA from 1 species
CACACUGGGACUGAGACACGGCCCAGACUCCUACGGGAGGCAGCAGUGGGGAAUUUUGGACAAUGGGCGAAAGCCUGAUCCAGCAAUGCCACGUGUGUGAAGAAGGCCUUCGGGUUGUAAAGCACUUUUGUCCGGAAAGAAAUGGCUCUGGUUAAUACCUGGGGUCGAUGACGGUACCGGAAGAAUAAGGACCGGCUAACUACGUGCCAGCCGCCGCCGUAACAC